rnacentral:lncRNA from 1 species
CGAAGAGCAAGCAAAUAACGGAAUGUUGAUGUUAGUCUCAGAACGAUCUUCAAAGAAGAAGAAUGGUCUAAAAGAAUGGAAAUUGGGUAUUUCUAUACCAGGUGUUUCCAUGGUGAGAAGGUAUGUUAUUCGAGGUUCUGAGAAUACCAACAUGAGUAAGGAAAAUGUGAUCCCUCUUCCACAUUGUAGCAAUGUUGUUCCUUAAAGACUUCAAAGCCUGUUGGAUGAGAUUAAAGAGCGACAAAGACUUUAGUUAUUAAGUCUUACAUUCAUCAGACGCAAGAGAGACAGAGAAGUUAAGACCUAGCUAAAUAAGACAGAAGUACCUCUUCUGUUCUCUCGUGGCUU